rnacentral:rRNA from 1 species
UGAGUAACCUGCCCUUAACUCUGGGAUAAGCCUGGGGAAACUCGGUCUAAUACCGGAUAUGACUCCUCAUCGCAUGGUGGGGGGUGGAAAGCUUUAUUGUGGUCUUGGAUGGACUCGCGGCCUAUCAGCUUGUUGGUGAGGUAAUAGCUCACCAAGGCGAUGGACGGGUAGCCGGCCUGGAGGGGGUGACCGGCCACACUGGGACUGAGACACGGCCCAGACCUCCGUACGGGAGGCAG